AUACGGAGGGAGCAAGCGUUAUUCGGAAUCACUGGGCGUAAAGGACGCGUAGGCGGGUUUGUAAGUCAGGUGUGAAAUCCUACAGCUCAACUGUAGAACUGCACUUGAAACUACAGACCUAGAGUAUGGCAGGGGCAGAUGGAAUUAGUGGUGUAGGGGUAAAAUCCGUAGAUAUCACUAGGAAUACCGAAAGCGAAGGCGAUCUGCUGGGACAUUACUGACGCUGAGGCGUGAAAGCGUGGGGAGCAAACAGGAUUAGAAACCCCGGUAGUCC
rnacentral:rRNA from 1 species